UGCAUUUCUUGGGUGAUGCACCCCGGAAUUGGGUUCCCUCCUCUCUGGUUCCGUGUGCGUCACUUGAGAACUGCA
rfam:Myotis brandtii contig284603, whole genome shotgun sequence.